ACUUUCCCUUUUUGAAUAACUAAUGCUGCUGACAUUUCCCAAUUGUCUAUGUAUUCAGUCAGACGUUAAGAUGUGAGGAUGCCAACCAAACUAAACCCAUCUACUUUCCCGCUAUAUCAGUUCUCGUAUGCUCUCUAGCAUAGGUCCACAACUCUAUGAUCUUUCGCAUUUUGUGCAUGGCUAUUGAUAGUAAUCCUGGUUUUUCAUAUAUAUGACCACCACGCGUAAUUCUUGGUUGCAUAUAGAAUUGGAUAAAAACUAACAAAGAAAUGAUUAGCACACCAUCAAUAAUUUAGUUUCAGUAAUGAACGCUCAUUUACUUACGCCUGAGGCUCAUAUUGGUGCCUAAGAGCAUGGUUAAUAAUACAACCAAUAAUCGGUUGUAAGGAGUUGUCAUGUCAUAUAGAGCCAAUCAAAUAGCCGGCAUAUACAAUAAUAAGUUUUAGAUGUGUACUACUUUAGUAGUAGAUGGCUUACCUUACAAUCUCACAAAAUGUCUUGGAUCUCGUGAUGUAGAUGGUUACUCACAAGAGCCCGCUUCUUUUCUCUCUCCUCCAACUAAGCAAGGAUAUAAUAUUUUAAUCCUUAUAGUCUGUUUAUGUCACCUUACUGUACUUGCUCUAUAAUGUCUUGGGCAAAAUAGAUCGGUUCAUCCGAUCUUUGUUGCCUUGAAAAUUAAGAUUGGUUUAUCUAGUAUAAAAAAUUGUUACUCACAGAUACAAGCAAGUAGAAUAUAGGCACAUGACAAAGAGAGCAAGAGAUCCAGGCAAAAAAAGGAGUGUAUCUUAAGUGCCAGAUUCGUCAGAAAUUACCUCACUGAUGUAGGUGCACUUCAAAAUUAUUUCGGAUGUUCCAAGAUGAAUAUGAGGCUUUUAUCGGCACAAAAG
rnacentral:lncRNA from 1 species